rnacentral:rRNA from 1 species
UACGUAGGUGGCGAGCGUUGUCCGGAUUUACUGGGCGUAAAGCGCACGUAGGCGGUUUGUUAUGUCGGAUGUGAAAGCCCUUGGCUCAACUGAGGAAGUGCAUCCGAAACUGGCAAGCUAGAGUACUAAAGAGGGUCGCGGAAUUCCCGGUGUAGAGGUGAAAUUCGUAGAUAUCGGGAGGAACACCGGUGGCGAAGGCGGCGACCUGGGUAGAUACUGACGCUGAGGCACGAAAGCGUGGGGAGCAAACAGG